CUUCGCCCUGCACAGGCGCAUCGCGAGAGAGCUGGGGAUUCGAGGUUAUCCGCAAGCGUACGUGCCAAUAGACGCCCGAGGUCGCCGCUACGCCUGCAUCAUUGUCCCGGACGUGAUUCCCACGACAGAGCACCGUGUCGUCUGUGUCUGCGUCUGGAAUAGACUGAAUUACGUGGCUAUCUGGGCAGCCGAGUCGAUGGACCGGCAAUAUCUUCGUUCGGCACUUGCUUCCGCGUUCUGCGGAAAUCCGGACGAAUUGCGGAUUGGUUCGUACCAGACCGUCGAGGUCGCGUAUACAGCAGCCUGCCACGAUGACACGGACCGACGGGCCCCGUCCUAAAAUCAGGAAGUCUCCCGUGCUAUGGCGUUGAGCAGCACGAGCUCCUGGAGGAUCCACACGUAUGCCAUUGUCAGAUGCUGUUUCCGCCGGGCACCAAGAUGGCGAUGGUGUCAGCGACCUGCAAUACCGUUAACUUGAUUAGUUCGCCUUGCAGCAGUGCCGCUCUUGCAGCCACAAGAGGAUUGCCUUUGCCUUGCUUUUUCGUAACUAGCAUGCUCAACGUGGCAAGUCUUGAAGCUUUCUUAAGUGGCCCUCCAGGUUGCUUCCACUCGCCCAUUUU